rnacentral:rRNA from 1 species
CCUACGGGAGGCAGCAGUGGGGAAUAUUGGGCAAUGGGCGCAAGCCUGACCCAGCAACGCCGCGUGAAGGAAGAAGGCCUUCGGGUUGUAAACUUCUUUUAUCAGGGACGAAGCAAGUGACGGUACUUGAUGAAUAAGUCACGGCUAACCACGUGCGAGCAACCGCGUUAAUACGUAGGUGGCAAGCGUUAUCUGGAUUUAUUGGGUUCAAAGGGUGCGUAGGCGGUCCGUUAAGCCAACGGUAAAAUUGCGGGGCUCAACCUUGUCGAGCCGUUGAGACUGGCAGGCUUGAGUUGACGAGAGGUACGCAGAAUGCGAGGUGUAGCGGUGAAAUGCAUAGAGAUCGCGCAGAACUCCGAUGGCGAAGGCAGCGUACCGG